ACUGCUUCUUCGCCUUUUGGCUAAAAUCAAGCAUAGUAUCUGUUCUUACCAGUUUAAGUACUUUUUGUGCUUCUCAUGGCUUAUAAGCCAUAAUUGCUGUUAUAACGGUAAGGAUUUUUC
rnacentral:snRNA from 1 species